rnacentral:rRNA from 1 species
UGGGCGUAAAGAGCUCGUAGGCGGUUUGUCACGUCUGCCGUGAAAGUCCGGGGCUUAACCCCGGAUCUGCGGUGGGUACGGGCAGACUGGAGUGCAGUAGGGGAGACUGGAAUUCCUGGUGUAGCGGUGAAAUGCGCAGAUAUCAGGAGGAACACCGAUGGCGAAGGCAGGUCUCUGGGCUGUUACUGACGCUGAGGAGCGAAAGCAUGGGGAGCGAACAGGAUUAGAUACCCUGGUAGUCCAUGCCGUAAACGUUGGGCACUAGGUGUGGGGGCCAUUCCACGGUUUCCGCGCCGCAGCUAACGCAUUAAGUGCCCCGCCUGGGGAGUACGGCCGCAAGGCUAAAACUCAAAGGAAUUGACGGGGGCCCGCACAAGCGGCGGAGCAUGCGGAUUAAUUCGAUGCAACGCGAAGAACCUUACCAAGGCUUGACAUGUUCUCGACCGCCACAGAGAUGUGGUUUCCCCUUUGGGGCGGGUUCACAGGUGGUGCAUGGUUGUCGUCAGCUCGUGUCGUGAGAUGUUGGGUUAAGUCCCGCAACGAGCGCAACCCUCGUUCCAUGUUGCCAGCGGGUUAUGCCGGGGACUCAUGGGAGACUGCCGGGGUCAACUCGGAGGAAGGUGGGGACGACGUCAAAUCAUCAUGCCCCUUAUGUCUUGGGCUUCACGCAUGCUACAAUGGCCGGUACAAUGGGUUGCGAUACUGUGAGGUGGAGCCAAUCCCAAAAAGCCGGUCUCAGUUCGGAUUGGGGUCUGCAACUCGACCCCAUGAAGUCGGAGUCGCUAGUAAUCGCAGAUCAGCAACGCUGCGGUGAAUACGUUCCCGGGCCUUGUACACACCGCCCGUCAAGUCACGAAAGUCGGUAACACCCGAAGCCGGUGGCCCAACCCUUGUGGGGGAGCCGUCGAAG